AUGAGCGCUGGCGGCGUGCCUAAUACAUGCAAGUCGAGCGAACGGACGAGAAGCUUGCUUCUCUGAUGUUAGCGGCGGACGGGUGAGUAACACGUGGAUAACCUACCUAUAAGACUGGGAUAACUUCGGGAAACCGGAGCUAAUACCGGAUAAUAUUUUGAACCGCAUGGUUCAAAAGUGAAAGACGGUCUUGCUGUCACUUAUAGAUGGAUCCGCGCUGCAUUAGCUAGUUGGUAAGGUAACGGCUUACCAAGGCAACGACGCAUAGCCGACCUGAGAGGGUGAUCGGCCACACUGGAACUGAGACACGGUCCAGACUCCUACGGGAGGCAGCAGUAGGGAAUCUUCCGCAAUGGGCGAAAGCCUGACGGAGCAACGCCGCGUGAGUGAUGAAGGUCUUCGGAUCGUAAAACUCUGUUAUUAGGGAAGAACAUAUGUGUAAGUAACUGUGCACAUCUUGACGGUACCUAAUCAGAAAGCCACGGCUAACUACGU
rnacentral:rRNA from 1 species